rnacentral:rRNA from 1 species
AACGAACGCUGGCGGCAGGCUUAACACAUGCAGUCGAACGCAUCGCAAGAUGAGUGGCAGACGGGUGAGUAACGCGUGGGAACAUACCCUUUUCUACGGAAUAGCUCUGGGAAACUGGAAUUAAUACCGUAUACGCCCUACGGGGGAAAGAUUUAUCGGGGAAGGAUUGGCCCGCGUUGGAUUAGCUAGUGGGUGGGGUAAAGGCCUACCCAGGCGACGAUCCAUAGCUGGUCUGAGAGGAUGAUCAGCCACAUUGGGACUGAGACACGGCCCAAACUCCUACGGGAGGCAGCAGUGGGGAAUAUUGGACAAUGGGCGCAAGCCUGAUCCAGCCAUGCCGCGUGAGUGAUGAAGGCCUUAGGGUUGUAAAGCUCUUUCACCGAUGAAGAUAAUGACGGUAGUCGGAGAAGAAGCCCCGGCUAACUUCGUGCCAGCCGCCGCGGUAAGAC